rnacentral:lncRNA from 1 species
AUAGAUAGAGACCUUAGGUGGGAACGACGCCUUUAAUGGCUACUUAGAAACCAAACAAAUCAUUUCUCCAAAAUCAAUUAUCAAACCCCAUUCCCUGAGUUAUAAACGGGCUUAUCUCUCAUUUUCAACAAAGAACAGAUCCUGGCCUCUAGAGGAAACAUAAAAAAUGGCGCAUUUGGGAGUUAAAAAAAAAAGCUUCUCAUCCAUUUCCAUCAAAAAACCACGAUAGAUCCCCGCAUUUUCUCUUCAAGAAAAAUCAUCAAUCUCUGCAUUUUUUAGAAGAAAAAACACAUGAAUUUUAGCAUUUUUCUCAUAGAAUACACAUUCAUUACUCCCGUGCUCUCACAAAAUAUGGACUGAAAAGAUCUAAAUUUCAGAUUUGAGAGUUACAGGAAAACAAAAAGGUUUAGCAACUAGUUUUUAGUUUCUGUUCGAUUGUUGCACGUUUCCUAGAAUUUUAGAAGUUGAUUAAAUUAUUUGAAGUGCUGGUUCUGUUGAUUCUGCUAGCAGUAGCUGAGCACUUGCGGCGACGGUGCUCCUUGUGGAACUUCUUUUGGUGUAUUGGAUUGUGUAGUUACUGUAUGAUAUUAUUGCAUGUUAUUUUAUUUAUGAUUCUUAUGUUUAGAUAAUUAUUUAUGCUAUUUCUGCUGAAGCUAUACUGCUCUUUUGUUGUUGUUUUUGUUUUUGUUGUUCUUUUUCUUCACUGAGUCGAUGGUCGAUUGGAAAUAGCCUCUCUGCCCUUCCGAAUAGGGGUAAGUCCCGUGUAUAUAUUACUCUCUCUGUAUCAUUGUUGGAUAGUUGUUGUUAAUGCUGUUGGUGCCUUAGUUAAGCCUGUCCAAGCUGAUUUACUUCGUGGAGCUGGAUUUAUUAAUAGUGGAUA